UGGCUCCACAGAUGGGGAAACUGAGGCCCAGAGCCAGGGAAGCAUGGAUCAGAUGGUGUAUAUUCCAGAUGUCACUCUUUCCUCCCCAAUUAAAGGAAAACACAUUUCAAACUUUGCUCUGAUGAUGUAUAUUUUUAUGGACCACACACAGGAACUUCACCUCUGUCAAAGAUCCUUAGCCAAACAACCCGCACAGCUGUGACUGCGGGUGACAAAUGACUUCGGCAGCACGACUGUCAUGGCUUCUCCCUAAUGCAGUGUUUGGCAUCCAGCUCAAAACAGAAAUAAAUAAGGCGGUAUGAUCCGCUAAUGAAGUCUGCUGCUUGUUUGAAACCGAACACUGAACAGAAGGUUGAAAAAAAUGAGGGACCAGAGGACUAACUCACCAAAGGCAGUAAGACACAGAUGAAAAAUAUUCGCUAGCAUCGAGCUGUUGGUGUUAUCAGCAUUAAUAAACAAUGCCCGUACUUAGAA